AUUGAACGCUGGCGGCAGGCCUAACACAUGCAAGUCGAGCGAGCGGCGGACGGGUGAGUAAUGUCUGGGAAACUGCCUGAUGGAGGGGGAGAACUACUGGAAAAGGUAGCUAAUACCGCAUACCCUCAAAUGUGCCCAGAUGGGAUUAGCUAGUAGGUGGGGUAACGUCUCACCUUGGCGACGAUACCUAGCUGGUCUGAGAGGAGGACCAGCAACACUGGAACUGAGACACGGUCCAGACUCCUACGGGAGGCAGCAGUGGGGAAUAUUGCACAAUGGGCGAAAGCCGGAUGCAGCAAUGCCGCGUGUGUGAAGAAGGCCUUCGGGUGUUAAAGCACUUUCAGCGGGGAGGCGUUACCCGCAGAAGAAGCACCGGCUAACUCCGUGCCAGCCGCCGCGGUAAUUC
rnacentral:rRNA from 1 species